AAUCUUGUUAAUGGCUUCGACUUAGCCGUUUGCCUGUGGAUGGUUCGGUGAUGAGAAAUGUUUCUUAAUGCCGAACUCUUCGCAGAAAUUUGAAAUUCGUGCGUUGUCGAACUGUUUUUCAUUGUCUGUAACAAUGGAGUGAGGUAUGUCGAACCUGCAGAUCACUGAUUUUCACAAAAAGUUGGUUGUUUUUUGUUCAGUGAUGGUGGCAAGUGGCUCUGCCUCGACCCAUUUAGAGAACUAAUCUACUGUGAUGAUGGCGAAUUUUACCCCUCCUUUUCCAAUGGGCAUGGGUCCAAUUAGGUUGACCCUCAUUUUGCAAAGGGCCAAUGUGCUGUUACUAGGUUCAGUUCGUGCGGUAGAGUAUUUAUGAUAGGGACAGGCGCUGGCACUUGUCGCAUCUUUUGACAAAUUCAAGGGAAUCACGUCUUAUUGCAGGCCAAAAGUAUCAUUGUCGUAUAAUCUUGUGGGCUAGUGAGAGUCCACUGGAAUGGUUU
rnacentral:lncRNA from 1 species